AUUGAACGCUGGCGGCAUGCCUUACACAUGCAAGUCGAACGGUAACGCGGGGCAACCUGGCGACGAGUGGCGAACGGGUGAGUAAAGUAUCGGAACGUGCCCAAUAGUGGGGGAGUAGCCCGGCCGAAAGACCGGAUUAAUACCGCAUGAGACCUGAGGGUGGAAAGACGGGGGACGUCGCAAGAGCCUCGCGCUGUUGGAGCGGCCGAUAUCAGAUUAGGUAGUUGGUGGGGUAAAGGCCUACCAAGCCGACGAUCUGUAGCUGGUCUGAGAGGACGACCAGCCACACUGGGACUGAGACACGGCCCAGACUCCUACGGGAGGCAGCAGUGGGGAAUUUUGGACAAUGGGCGCAAGCCUGAUCCAGCCAUGCCGCGUGCGGGAAGAAGGCC
rnacentral:rRNA from 1 species